rnacentral:rRNA from 1 species
GAUCCUGGCUCAGGACGAACGCUGGCGGCGUGCUUAACACAUGCAAGUCGAACGUGAUUUUUGUGGAAAUUCUUUCGGGAAUGGAAAUGAAAUGAAAGUGGCGAACGGGUGAGUAACACGUGAGCAACCUACCUUACACAGGGGGAUAGCCGUUGGAAACGACGAUUAAUACCGCAUGAGACCACAGAAUCGCAUGAUAUAGGGGUCAAAGAUUUACGUGUAGAAGGACGUCGCGUCGUGAUAGU